AUUGAACGCUGGCGGCAGGCCUAACACAUGCAAGUCGAGCGGAUGAAGGGAGCUUGCUCCUGGAUUCAGCGGCGGACGGGUGAGUAAUGCCUAGGAAUCUGCCUGGUAGUGGGGGAUAACGUCCGGAAACGGGCGCUAAUACCGCAUACGUCCUGAGGGAGAAAGUGGGGGAUCUUCGGACCUCACGCUAUCAGAUGAGCCUAGGUCGGAUUAGCUAGUUGGUGGGGUAAAGGCCUACCAAGGCGACGAUCCGUAACUGGUCUGAGAGGAUGAUCAGUCACACUGGAACUGAGACACGGUCCAGACUCCUACGGGGGGCAGCAGUGGGGAAUAUUGGACAAUGGGCGAAAGCCUGAUCCAGCCACGCCGCGUGUGUGAAGAAGGUCUUCGGAUUGUAAAGCACUUUAAGUUGGGAGGAAGGGCAGUAAGUUAAUACCUUGCUGUUUUGACGUUACCAACAGAAUAAGCACCGGCUAACUUCGUG
rnacentral:rRNA from 1 species